UUCUUUUGGUAAUUCAGACGAGUCUCCUAAUUUUUAGGGACUGAUGUCAUUUUUAACGUAUCUUCUAUUUUUAGGGACC
rfam:Populus trichocarpa scaffold_14_contig_86, whole genome shotgun sequence.